CGCAAAGCGUUCUGGGACUCGUGGUUCGCAGGGUCGUAAGGAAAAGCGGAGCGGCGUCCAGUCCAGCUGGAUGUUUCCCCAGCCGAGCUCGGGGUCCCGCGAGCUUCAGUCCCUGCUCAGCUUCACCCCGCGGGGGAUUCUGGGAGGGGAUGUCGCGAGUCUCGAGUCGCUGGGCGGGUUUCCAGAACCCGCGGCGCCGCGGGGAGGAUACUGUUCUCCAAAAGAGAAGAUUGAAGAAGGAAAGAAGAAUGGCUGUUGGACUUUGUAAAGCCAUGUCCCAGGUAAGUUGAUGUUUUCACUUUGUUUCCAGAAAUUCCACCUCAUUUUUUGGGACUUUGGGACCUCAGAGAGUCAGAAAUAGCCCAAUGAGCACUCUCACCACUUCUCUCUCUUAACUACUUCAAAUGAUCUCUCUACAAAUCAUUUACUAUCUUUUUUUCUCAGUGCUGUGCUCAAAUAUGUGAUGGAAAAGAACUAUCCUCUUUAGACGGAUCAUGACUUGUGCUGGCGAUCAGUGCAAGUGAAAUAAAGGACAGAGGUGUGAUUAUUGAGUGCCCUAU
rnacentral:lncRNA from 1 species